rnacentral:lncRNA from 1 species
AUCGGUGGCGGCUGCGGGGGAGGGGCUCGGCGUCAGCGCGUCGCCGGCUGGGCCGCGCCGGUGGCCAGGAGGGAGAGACAAGGAGGAGGAGGUGAGUGGGCUCCGGGCUGGGAGCUGCGCGGGCCGGCGGGGAGGCGGGGAGCGCGGCCCCUCCCCUCUCCUCACGGCGCCCGCCUCGCGGGGCCGCGCUGCGCGGAGUUCCCAGUGGGGCUGCGGCGGCGGCCGCGCGAGGAGCGGAGGGUGGGAGGAGGGGCGGAGCCGAGGGCUGCGCGCUCACCCGACGCACGCGCCGCGCUCCCUCCGCCGCUAGUGCGCCCGGUUCUCGGAUCCCGGCGUCCGGGGUCGGGUGUCCUGGCGACUGCGUAUCAUUCCUCUCGCACACUGGCCGACUUAUAAUUUAGUUUUCUUGGUGUCUAAACGUCUUGUGUGCCGGCUUCUUGAGGCCCUUGCGUCGCUUCCUCCUCGCAUGGCCUGCGAGGGUAGUUGGAGGCACGUCUCCCUGCGCAGGGAGAAGGGCGAUCCGGUGCCCUCGGUUGCCCCUUUGGCGGAGGGACCUCCCAGCAGACCUUCAGGCUGCCUGUCUAAACCUGCCCCAGGCCCUUGCCGCCCCCACAAUCCGGAUAUCAAGGCAGCGCUCCACUUCCCACUGUCAGCGGAGACCAAAGACUACUCUUUGCACCUUUGCUCCCGCCCAGCCCCUUUAAGGAUUCAGCACAAACUUAGUAUUUCCAUCCGGACCCAGAUAGUCCGUCCUUUCGGGUGGAAAGGUUUUCUUAAUCUAAGUCUUGUAAUCCAACCUUGUACCCCACAGCGAAGUUGCAGUAAUACGUUAAUGUAACCGUUGGUCCUGGGGUGUGUGUGUUUUUUUUCCUUUAGCAAAUGCAACUUUUAGAGUCUUAGAAUUAUGUUGCAUUAGAUUAUCUUUGAGAUAAUUCUUAAGUUAAUGCUUGAGGUCCAGUGAUGGGAGGUUCAUAGAAGAGGCUUUACAUUUUUUCCCUCUACCUGUAUCACAGUUCGAAAUGGAAAACGUGAGUUGAGGGUGACUUUCCACAGGAGGUGGAUUUCAGUUCGCAGCCCUCAAGUGCUCAGGCUUGCCUUGCUUAUUUGAUGCUACCACUGAAGUUGAUUUUAAAGCUUCACAUAGUGAUCAGGUAAAGGAGCUGCAGAAAAGAAGUUCAGUAUAAUUCAAUAGAGCUAUUUUAUUGGAUUCUAUUAACCUGUUUAACCUUAAGCUUUAACCAUGACAGGAUUUCCAUGUAGGAACCCACAUACCAAGUGCAAUAUUGAAUUUUAAUUAAUGCAUUCCAGGUCUGAUGUGGCAUAGAUUCCUCUCAGUUUCCACUCUAUUAUACAUUUUCCCUUAGAUUUCUAUACUGUAUUUAAUGAAACAGUUUUAGUGUUGAGGGUUGGAGGAAAACCUUUUGAAUUAUGAAACUAGCAUGCUACUGAGAGAAAAAUGGGAUUUUAUAGCAUUAUUAUUUUGGUGGCUUCUUGAAGCCCUUGCUUUAAGAUGGCUUCUUUACUCAUGUUGAAAACAUCUUGACAUUUUAAUGUUAAGAUCCACAGAAGUAUAAAAUUUUUGCUUUGUGGGGCUGCAGUUGUAGCUCAGGGGUAGAGCCCUUGCCUAGCAUGGGUGUGAUCCUUAGCAGCACAUAAAAAUAAAAUAAAUAAAAUAAAGGUAUAAAAAUACAAUAACAUUGAAUUUUAUUUUAUUGUUUUGCUUUGUACAGGACCUUAGCAGUGUAAUCCAACUCCUAUUAUUUUACAGAAAAAUAAGGAAUCCAAGAGUUUCUUGAAGAGAUUUUGCAGGAGCUGAAGAGAACUGGUUGUCUUAAUUAACUAAACACUUAUCUAGGUAAUUCAGACCUCCCCAAUGGAUAUUCUUGUGCCAGAGUUUAUCCUUAUUAUUUUUAUUAUUAUUUUCUUUUAGUGCUGGGUAUCAAAAAUCCAGGACUUCAGUCUGUUAGGCAAAUGCACCUGAGUUAUAUUCCCAGCAACUCCCCCACCACUGUUAUCUUAAAAAAGGCCAAGUAAUUACUGAUUUUUUUUCUUUUUUCUUUUUUUGCUUUGAGUAUAUGCCUUACUUUGUGAUUUGGGCCCACUAAAUAAAAAUAUACAAAUUAUUUAUACUUAGGAAAUAUGUACAUUCUUUCAGUUGAAACAUUGAUUUCUGAUUUAGUUUGCAUUUAGUGGUUAUUUUUCACAUCUUUAUUCAUAUUCUUGAUUCAGGUAGUCUGCGUUACUGCCAGCAGAUUGGUAUUUUAUAGAGUUUUAGGAUUGUGGUGUAUGUGACUUUGAUAUUAAUUAGGAAAGGAGCUCUAGCACCCAUGUAAUAAUUUAAUUGCAGCAUCCCCAACAUCACUUUUUAACUGUGCCUCAAGUGCAGGAGUCUUGAAGUUCUUGUUUUCUGGGGUGAAUUUUUUGUAUUUCGCUCAGCUGUGUUUGGAUUAGGCAUUUAGUAAAUAGCUGUGGGUUGUGUGCACUCUCCUGGUAGGGGCUUCAUGAAAGUUGGACCAUGUCUUAUUAAUCUGUGUAGUAGGAACUGUAUAAAUGCUUGUGAUCUUGUUAGUAGAGAGUGCCUGGAAGAUCUGAAUCAUGAUAUAGUAAACUUGAAAUAGCUCAUUUUCAUCUUGUGUUGAACCAGUUAAUCUGAAUUCUGAUAUUGAAAGAUAGCAGGGGUCAAAUAAUUUAGAAAAGUUGAGAGGAGUAACAAUAUUAAUUUUGUUCUUUAAUAUUUGUUAGUUACUGUGAAAUUAGGAAAGGACACCAUUAUUUAAAUUUAGUGAUAGAACAAUUCAAUCAGACUGGACGAGUACAAAGUUUCUAGCAGACUGAAUUUUGAUAACCAUGAAUUGAUGACCCUCUCAUUGUUUCUGUAGACCACAUUUUAAAGCAUUAUUUUCACUUUAUAAGGAUUUAUUUUUUGGCAUGGACACCUUUGUAAGGAAUAUGAUUUUUGGAAUUUAGACUACUUUGGCAAACUAUACUGAAAUGAUAUUUUAAAUAUUUUAAGCUCAAUUUGAUGGGUUGUGCUUCAUGCUGGUGAAUCUUAAAACACUUUAAAAAAGCCAAGUAAUUACUAAUUUUUUAAGACUCAUUCUUACCUAUUCUUCAGUAGAUCAGAAUAGUGUGUUCUACUUAUAUAUAAAAAAAAAAAAAAACUAAAGAAAGAAUUUUAAGCUUUUUUAUCCCUGAAAUUAUCACCACUUCAUCUUUUGAAGAACUUUGGUAAAAUUGUGGUCUAGAGCUUUGGUAAAAUUUCCAUCUAGCACAUUUAAAAGCCAAUUCCGUAGAGUGAUUCCUAUUUGAACAUAUAGAGUCAUAUAGAUAAUAACCUUCUCAGGGACAGUAUUUUUGAAUUACCUUCAUUACUCCAUUGAUAUUAUUACUGAAAACAAAUGUACAGUAGAGUUGGAUGGUGUUUAAUUUGUAUGAAGCAGUCAUCUCACAUCUAUUCUUGCUGGUUCUUAAGUCAGUUGCAGUUCACUUGGCCUACCCAGUGCCAGAUAGUCCCUUUCACCAAGACUGAAAAUACAUAAAGCACCCCUCUCCCUGUCCCAAUCCUCUGCAGUGGAGUGGUGUGGAGUCAUUCUGGUGCACUGAACAUCUGUUGUUCACAGAGGUACGAUCUAACAUCAUAUCCUUGGCAUAUACUCAAAUUUACCUCUCAGAUUUUUAUUUUAAACACAUUUCCUGUAAGGAGUUUUAGAAAUAUAUAGCAUAAACUUCUUAACAAAGUAUGUAUGAAUCAUAUAGAAUAUUUCAGUAUUAUUAUAGAUAGAAUUAGGAUUUAGAAUUAGAUAAUUAAUAAGAAUUAGAAUAUUUAGUACUUUUCCCGCACACUUGCUAGGGUCACACUUAUGUCAUUUAAACAAGUGAUGAAAUUAUUUUUUGAGCUGAGUGUGAUGGUGAUUAUCUGUAAUUACAGUGAUUUGGGAGGCUGAGGUGGGAGGAUUGCAAGUUUGAGACCAGCCUCAUCAACUUGGCAAGACUCAUCUCAAAAAGGACUGGUGAUGUAGCUAAGUGGUAAAGUGACCACUGAGUGGUAUAUGUAUACAUAUGUGUGUGUGCAUUUUUUUUUUUUUUAAAGCAGUCAGAGAAGUAAUUCCACAGUUUUUCUUUAGUGGUAAGUAGUCUAUUGAUUUGACAUAUUUCUUUUGUGGUUCCUUUUUGUAUUUCCUGUCCCUUGUGGAACUGGAGCCUUGUUUUCAAUAUGAUUAAGUACCAUAACAGCCUGGCCAGUUUUCUCCUAGCCGUUGCUCCUUCCAGUGGGGAGCUGGGACUUGUUCUUGUCACUGGUAGAUAGAUGGUAAAGGUAUUGUAGAGCCAAUAUACUGUGAUUUUGCCUCUUGGAUUCACCCUCACCAGAUUGACUCCUUAGAUACUGAGAGCUGUUAUCAUUUUGAAUGUUUUUUGAGGAUUAGAUUUUCAUUUGUAUUAGGGACUCUCAGAUAUCCUAGAUUCAUACAUUCAUGAGUUAGACCCCUUUUCUGAUUAGCCUUCUGUUCUGUUCUCUGCUGCCUUCUUACUGGAGACACUUCAUGCAUGCUUUUUGUCCAGUUCAGUGAUAGCUAGUUAUUUUCAAGUGUUUGAUUUUUUGCUCUUGUCUUCUCUCAGUUUUGAACUUUCAUUUGAUCAGGUGGCUGUUACAUAUUCUUAUAGCAGGUCAUUUCCUAUGUUUCCUCUAGACUAUAUGUACCCCAAGGGUGUGACUGAGUGAAUCUAUCUUGAUCUUGGUGAUGUCCUCAAUACUCUGUAUAGUGCUUGGCACAUAGCAGGUUUUAGGUAAGUACUAAUUAGGUAUAUUCAUUCUAAUAACAGGUUCUAUAUCAGUGUCAGAAACCAGUGUUCAUAGAGAAAUUUCAAAUUCAUUCAAGAAGUGUAGAUAUUAUAUUGCCAUCAUUAGGAGUAGAGAGUGUGUGUAUUUUAAAUUAUAAGUAUAUCCAUAUAAAAAUGGCUGUUAUCAUCCAUCUUACAAGAUAUUUGAGAACUUGUAAAAUUUCACAAUGUUUAAUUGUAAGACAUUGCACAUUUCAAUUUUUCGUGAGUUUGACAAAUAUGUAUAUGUUAUUUUAUAUUUCUUAUACAAGAAAGUUUUAUGGCACUAUAAAGAAGUGAGUUUAAUGACUCUAUUUUUGUCCAUUAGUAAAUAUAUACUGAAGAGUAAAUUCUCAUUAAAAGACCCUUAAAUGCUUGCUCAUUAAAAAAAGAGACCUCUUUGAUUUUGCUCUCCAUACAUUCCUAGUUAUUGUAUUAGACAAGUCAUCAAACUCUUUAGUAGUCUAAACCUUUAAUUUGUUUUCAGAAAAGUAGUCAUGUAUUGAACACCCAAAUUACCAUGUCUUUAACAAGUAAUGCUAACACUCUGUAUUAAAAAGGUAAUGACCAUAACUUUUAUAGUAGAAUUUCUUGUACUAAUUUUUAAAAGAGGACUUUUGAGCCAAAUUUCCCGUGAAGACCCAAACUCAUACUUUUAAUGAGAGUGGAGUACGUAUGUAUAUGUAGAGGGGAAGGGGUUGUAAUUUUUGUGGUGGUAUUUUUAAGUGGACAGUUUACUAAUUAUUUUGAGGGAAACACUUUACAACUCUAAAAGGAAAACUUCAAUUAUCUGAAUGAAAUGAGGUACAUGAAAUUAAUUCAGAUAAGUGGGGAAUCCUUAGUGUAAAUGAUGCAUGUCAAAGGGACAUGACCUCAAUCUUGAUUUUUUUCUCCCCCUAUAUAUCUGUCAGCUGCUUUUAUGUUACUAGAUUGUAAUUCCUUUUAUUCAUACUAAGAAUCAUUGAUGGGAGGGAGGUAAAGUUGCUCUACAGAUUUUUUUUUUUUCCUUUGCCACAGAAGAAUCCCUGGUGGUAGUCUGUGCUGAGCAUAAUUGCUCAUCUCUACCCUGUAUUGCCUGCCAAUUUUAGGUGGUACACCACAGCCUUCCAUUUUGUCACCUUCCUGUCAAAUGUGUAUGGGAACCCCUUGAGACUACAAUUGAAUUGAAAUUAAAGCCACAUUUCUCUGUUCAAUUUCAAGAUGUUUAUCCUUCUUAAAAGUUGAGUUUCUACAAGUUGUAAGAGUACAUUGAGCUGGAUAAACCUUGUUUCCUUCUCUCUUGACUUGCUUAGGUUUUCAUAUUAAGCAGUUAUUUUGCAAUGUGAACCCUUAAAAUAUAAACAAACCUCAGGGCCUGACCCCUGACCUUUGUAAAUCCUAAGUUGAAAUGGAAAUUUUAGUCAUUGGGGUUGAGGAAAAUGAUUUCUGCUGCAGUUGACUAAGUUUUGCAGUAUUCUUGGGUUCAUGGCAUCUGAAAGCUAUUGUGUAAUCUGUAGCAAACCCCUAUAGCUGUGAUGAUAUUGUCUUCUAGGCUUUCUUUUGUUUUGUUUUUAAGUGGAGGCAAACUGUUGCAGCCACAGAGAUGUGGGCUGACACCUUUACAAAUGAAUUUACUUCUCUUUAACAUUACUAUAGGUUCUUUACUUGAAGCACCUGAGACCAUGCCUUUAUUUUCAGCAUGUACCAGCUUUCUUUUCAUCUCUUGGUUUUUAAGAUACAUGAUGAUUCAUAUCUUGAUUGCCUUGGGUAGUAUGUGGUAUCAGCAAGCUCUGCACCCAGACCUGGUGAGCAGCUCCUAGGUCAUUGUUUGAUGUUCCCCUAAGUAUGUGCAGGUGGUGUGACUAAAGAUUUUGGGCUUGAGGGUUAGCCCAGACUGAUUUUGACUCUUUACCAUUUAUGAUCAGUAUGCCUCUGUGAAAAAUUAGGUACUUGUCUCAGUUUCAGUUUCCUCAUCUUUAAAAUGUGACUAUCAUUUGGCAAUGUUGAGUUGGUUUUAAAAAUUAUUUAAAAAGUAAUCUUGGUGUGUUAGUUCAUUGUCAUAUUCAAAUAGUGUAAAUUAAUGCAUUGUCUAGCUCAUAGACUAUUUUAAAUGGAAGUAGAUUUUGUUCCAUUUAAAAAUAGAGGUAAUCAAGUUGGCGGAAGGCUUUCCAAAUAGAGGUCUUGCCCUUUUGACUUCAAAACUAUAUAAAACCCUUGUAAGCUAUUGAUCUAUUCAUAUAUACAAAUGAUAUACCAGUGUGUGAUGUACAGAGGUGGAACAUGCACUGACUGUAGUUUGGUCCAAAGGCUUGAUCUCCAGAAUUGCCAUUUUGAGAGUUGCUAUGGUCCUUCAAGAGGUAGGGCAUUGUAGGAUGCCCUAAGGUCACUGGGGGUGUGCUCUCAAGAGGAUUGUGGGACCUUGGUCUUAUCUUCUCUUUCUGCUUCCUGGCUCAUGAUGUGAGUACUCCCUCUGACAUGUGGUCCCACCAUGACAUGCUGCCCUUGCCAGAGGCUCAAACCAUGCAGCCACAUCGUUUUGGAGUUGAACCUCUAAAACUAUAAGCUGAAUAAGCCUUCUUUUCUUUAUAAGUAACUUAUAUCAGGUAUUCAUGUGGUAACACAAAUCUGACUACCGUACUCUGGAGUCAGACAUACUUGGAUUUGUAUAUAGAUGAUCUACCUCUUUCCACUUGAGUAACCUAGAGCAGAGUAUUUUAGCUGUUUGUUCAAAGUUUUUAUCUAUAAUGAAGAUAAAAAGACUAAUAAAGAUUAAAAAAUUAUAAAAAGAUUAUUAUUGAAACUUAGGUUAAGCAUGCAAAAUACUUCAUUGUAUCUGAGUCCAUUAAAUACUGGUAGUUAUCAUUUUGACCUUGGACAGAUAAUUUCCUGCUUCUACCCCAGGUUUCCAUAUCUGUACUACAACAGCUAGUGAAUACUGUUAUCAUCAAGAGUAAAUGAGAUAAUACAUGUAUGUGUUUACAAAAUGUUAAUAGCUAUUGUAUAUAUUAAUUCAGCUUCGGAAUAAAUUAGAUCAAUUUUGAGUUAAAGAAUUUUUCUACAUAUUUGAUAAAUUUAUUAUUUAUCCAACUUAAAUCAUUCAUAGCUUUCAGUAUUUUCUUAAGACAGUAUUUCUUAAAUUGUGGUGUACAGACCCUUUGGAGUCACAGAGUUGCUUUUAGGGGUACUAUGAGAAUAAAACUACUAUCAGAACAGUAAAUUUUUGCUUUUUUGUUUAAUGUUUUCCCUGCUUGUGCAAAGCUAGUGAUGAGUAAAACCAUCGAAAUCUUAAUAGAAAUUAAAUGCCAGCGGUACCAAACUAUACUAGUAAUCAUUGUAUCCUUCACUGAGAUGCUUUCACAGGUUAAAGUAAAACAACAACAAUGAAAACAAAGCUGGAGGUAUCCAGCUGACUUCACAUAAGAAAGUCCUUGAUAAAGUGGUAACAGUUAUUAAUCUUGUGAAAUUUUGACUCUGGAUAUUUUUUUAUUUUUAAAUUUGGUGUGAUGAGAUAGGACAUUUGCAAAAAGCACUUCUGCUGCACAUCCUGAGCACAUUGCUUGUCUAGAGGAAAAACCUUAAGUGUGAGUUUUUUUCUUUUGAGUUACCAAUGGAACUAGCCAUAUUUUUCAUGAAAUACCACUUUUGCUUUAAAGAAUCACUACUGGACAAACUCUGAUUAUUUAAAUUAUUUGGCAAUCUUUUUCUUGAAAAAUGAACAAAAUAAUGAGCCCAUCACUUUAAGGAAAAUUACUGACAGUGUUUGUUGUCAGUGAUAAAAAUGCAAACUUUUAAAAUGAAAAUUAAAGAUUUGGAUAAUUAACUUGGUUAAAUUUUAGAUAAUUUUAGGUAACUUGUGUUACUUCCUAUGCUUUUGUUUGCUUUUAAUAUUUAAAAAUUUUUUUGAUGAGAGAGGGUGAUAUUAAUGAAUGUGAGGUUUUUUUUUUUUUUUUUUUUUUGGUCAUAUAAUGAAUUAUGUCAAGAUUUGUAGUACCUACAUAACUGAAUAAACCACUAUUUUCUAACUUUCCAGUGUUACAAAAUUAUGGGUAAAAAGAUCCUUUCAAAUAGCAAGUAAUAGAAAAAUAAAUAUUACAGAAUACAAAAAUUUCAUAUAUAUUGGAUUCCACAUUUAUAAUUAGUCCUUAAGAAACUCCUACUUGUCAAGUUUUGCUGAAUUAUCAAAAAGAACAUCCUUAAUUAUAUGAAUAAUUGGUUAAUAUUAACACUCUUUUCAUGAUGUGUUUGAGGCCAUUUUUUUUUCAUAUAACUCAAUCAAAAUAAUGUAUCAUAACAGAUUGAAUAUAGAAGUAGAUAGGAAAAGCUACCUGUCAGGGCUGGGGCUGUAGUUCGGUGUUAGAGCACUUGCCUAGCAUGGGUGAGGCACUGGGUUCUAUCCUCAGCACCACAUAAAAAAUAAAUUAAUUAAAGUUAUUAAAAAAAAGAAAAACAAACAAACCUACCUGUCUUCUAUUAAGCUAAACAUGAAAGAAAUUUGAAAAACUUGCAUAAUAAUGUCACAUUUCUUACUAAGUUACUUUUUUAGUUUGAAAAAAUAGUGAAAUUAUCUUAUUGUUUCUAUAUAAAAUAAAAGUUUUAAAAUGAAUUAAAUAUCUAAGAAUUUUUCAUUUGGCAAAUAUUGACAAUUAGAACUCUUGUGAACAAAACUCUUGGGGGAGUACUCAGUAAUUUUUAAGAACACAAAGGAAUCCUGACAUUGAGAAGUUUGAGAACUGUUUCUUUAAGAAAAGGCUCAUCAAAUGAAUACAGUUUUAAAUAUUUAAUGUUAUUUGAGUAUGGACAGUAUGACUCUAGUUCUUUUCUCAGUUGUAGGGAUAUGUCAUUGGAUUUCUGUUACUUUUUCCAAAUAGGCAGUGUGUUCCUGUGUGUAUUUUUAAAGAAGACUUUCGUUUUUAACUUUUUUUGGUACCGGAAAUUGAACCCAGGGGCACUCAACCACUGAACCACACAACCCCAGUCCUUUUUAUUUUGAGACAGGGUAUUGCUAAGUUGCUCAGGGUCUUGGUAAGUAGCUGAGGUGUUCUUGAGCUUGUUAUCCUCUUGCCUCAGCCUCCCCAGCUGCUGGGAUUACAGGCCUGUGCUACCAUGCCCAGCAAAGAUUUUUAUUUUUAAGAUUGAUGCUACCUAUAGGAUUACACUCAGAAUUGAGAUAUGGUUAAUAGUAAUACCAGUUAGUCUUUUUAUGCUUAAUACCUUUCUUUGGGGGGUUGGUGGUAACCAGGAAUUGAACUCAGGGGCACUUGACCACUGAGCCACAUCCCCAGCCCUAUAUUGUAUUUUAUUUAGAGACAGGGUCUCACUGAGUUGCUAAGCACCUUGGUGUUGCUUAGGCUGGUUUUGAACUCAUGAUCCUCCUGUCUCAGCCUCUCUAGCCGUUGAGAUUACAAGAGUGCGCCACCAUGCUUGGCUUGAUAUCACUCUUUUGUAAUGAGGUAUAUAUGCUGUUUUUGGAGCUUUUCACCAUGGCAAGUAUAUCAGUGUUGUAGUGAAACUCAUUUUGCUGAAUAUAAACUGACAUUUUCUCAGAAGUCCAUACACCAGGCUUAUGUAUUCUGACAUUUCAUAGCUAUUUUCUGGUAUGGUCAAUCUACAGUUUAAGAAUGUGUAUCUGAAUUAGUUACUUGCAACAAAACCAUAUAUAGUAUGAACUACAGAUGAGUAUAUAGUACUAGUAUAGUAUGGACAGUUCAGCCUCAUUGUGGACUAUUAACAUUUUUCUAUGGGAAAUUACAUUUUUACUCCUUGAAAUCUAGCCAAACAUGUAUCUUCAUUGCAAUCUAGCAGUAGCAAGAGAUCCCACUUUGCCCCUCAAAGUAGAAACAGGAUUGUUAAAGCUUUAAUAAUAGCUUUUAACAUUAAAAAGCUUUAAUGUGCUCAAAAGGCACACUAACUUGGGCAUCUUAUGUGAGUGAAAGAUGAUAAUACUCUCAGACGAAGCAAGUAUAUAAACUUUGGGCCAACUAGCAAUAAUGGAGGGAAAAAAGAGAAGGGAUGUUCUGGAGGAUAUUUUGAGGGUGGUAUGUUCCCUUUUGGGACAGACUUUUUUAAAUAAAAAGGUAUAUAUAUGUAGGUUGGAAAAUUCAUAAGUGUAUAUGGAGUUUGCUUUGUUGUGUUUUUAUGGUUGGAGAUUUGUAUUAACUGACCUCAAGCAACAGAAUGACAAGCCAAUUGGGAAGGUUGAACUUACCUUUAGGCCAGAGAUUUGAAAUAAAAAGAGUGAGUGAUGAGCUCCAGGGGCAAUGAUAAUCAGAAGGAGUAGUGGAGGCCAGAAGUAUGUUGAUAUAUGUAGGCUGUAAAGGGGACCCCCAAAAGUCCAUGUUCUAGGGUGGUUGUUAGAACAGGGGGUAGGACUGAUAAUUGGCCAGCACAGUUCAGUCGAAAAUGUUUUACUCAGCUCAUUGCCCUGAGGUCUCUGGCAGGAAAGAUAGAAGACAUGUGUUCUAUACAGGAAGCCCAGCCCAUAUGGAGAGUGGUUGAUAUGAAGUAGAAAUCCAGAACCAUAGGAGCUUGGAGAAAUGGAAGAAGCUAAAGUUGGAAAACUAGAAUUUGACCUGUGUUAAGCUCCUUGCUUCUUCCUGUCCUGUCAAUAUUAAUCCCUUGAAUUGAGGCAAAACUGAACCAAAGGAGACAGAAAGUGACUUAUAGGUGUCAGCAUUGAAGAGACAGGAUUGACCCAACAAAUGUAUGUUAAUUGGAUGGUAAUUAAGACGGGGAACAAUUGGGUCAUUAUAGUAUUUCCACUCAGGUUCUUUAUACAGCAGACCCUGGGUAGCAUAUUACCUGCCCACCAAAAAAUUCUCUAGGCCUGGGGUUGCAAAUUCUUUUUUUAAAGCACCAGAUAGUAAAUAUUUUAAGCUUUAUGGGUCAGAUGGUUUCUGUUGCACUUAAGUCUGUUGCUGCAUGAAAGCAACUGAAGAAAAACACAUUAAUAAAGGAACAUGGCUGUGUUUCAAUAAAGCCUUAUUUAUGAAGACUCAAAUUUGAAUUUCAUAUAUUUUCACAUAUCACAAAAUAUUAGAAAAAUGUUUUUCAGCCAUUUAAUAAUAUAAAACCCAUCUUUAGAUCAUAGCUAUAUAAUAGCAUGCACUAAGCUGGAUUUUGGCCCAUGAGCUCUUGUUUUCUGGCCCCUGUUUUAGGAAAUGAAUGACUUAUCAGUUAUGAUGCAGAAAGCUUAGCAGUACUGAAAUAGAUGUUCUCUAGGACAAUGCUCUUGGUGACACUGUCUUGUUUUGUAGGUGACACUGAUGAUAAAAAUCCGUUCAAGAAUUUAGAUGUGACAUCUGCAGCAGGUUCAAAUCUCUCAGCUAUAAGACAAACUGGAUACUUCAUAAGAAUUGUCAUCUAUUAUGCACAGAGAGCCAAAAUCCGUUACUGAGAUUGUCUGGGUGAGCUGCCUGCUGGGUCCAGUGAUGCAGUAGUAGACAAAGAAGUUGAAAGAGAAGUCUGGCAUAUUCUGUGGAUGACUGGCAGAGUGUGACACCAAUAUGGCAUCAGGCCCUACUAUGAUUCCAAGGACUUUAUGACAAAAUAAAAAAGAAAAAAAAUAUUUGUAAUAGAGCUUGGUGUGAUUGAAGUAAAUAUGAUCUUUAUUUUGGGAAUGUGUACUGCAUUAUCAUUCCAUAAUGAUAUAUAGUAAUUGCCUUGUUAAUCAAACUUUAAACAUUCUAUCUUUAUUCACAAAACUUAUGUAGUUAUUACCUUUUCUAAUUUGGUUCUCUAACUCUAAGGAAAUUCGGUGAAAAAUAACAACUGUUUACUAAGUAGGUUAAUUUAAGGACAAUUAUUUUCACUUGGAAAUUUUUGUUUGGGAUUCUUGAAACUGUGCUCUCAUGUACAGCAUUUAAAAUAUUUCUAUUUGUGAAAAGCUACUUGGAUUUUCUUAGAACCAUCUUUUUGAGUAGACUCCUUUACUCAAUAGUAAAUAGAAAAUAAUAAUGUAGAGUACUAGUAUAUAUAGAAUGUUGAAUUUCUAAAUUGUUUCAGACCUAUUAAUUAUAUACACUUAGAAAAUUUAGCAAGCAGGUAUGAUUAGAAUAAACUUGUGUAUUUUUUUUAGCUAUUGAACCAUAAAACUGGAACAUCAAAGUAGUUCUGAAUCAAAUUGGUGUUUUAUUUGGUUAAUAAUCUUUUUUUUUCUUGGUAUGUAUCAAUUUAUACCAUUAAUAGAGGAUUUGAAAGUAGCACUGGGAAAUGAAGUGGGUAGAUUCUCCCAAAGUUGGAUUCCAUUUUUACCCUCAGUGAAUUGUCAACUUUUUUUUUUUAAAUUUAUUUUUUUAAUGUUAGUAUUCAACAGAAGCUCUGACAGUCUAGGAUAUAAAACAUUUUAUUUAACUUGUACAGCUCAUUUACAAAUGAAGCUUCCCUCGUGACUUAUCUUGAAAUCCUUAUUCAAAGCAUAUACUAUUUAAUUUGUCAGUAUGCCAUUGCCUGACUGCAUGUUUUUGGUCAAGAGUGUAGUGCCACUAACAUAGCCAUCCUGCUAGGAAGAUGAUCUGAAGGUUGCUGGACAGUAGAAUUUACACACUUCUAAUUUACAAGUCAGAUUAGGGUCAUAAUCAUAUGAUAGUUUUAUGUGGAAUUGAUUUCAUGGUUUUUUAAGCUAUUUUUUGUUAUUGCAGCAAUGCCAUUAACUGAAAUGCAGUUUUAUUGUAGCAUGAGAGUACCUCAAACUCUUUUGAAUUUGGAAGAAGAGGGUUGUUGGUAUAGAUGCUUAAAUCCUAAAACUCAGGGAUUUUGUGUACCUGGGUAUGUAUGUAUACACAUAUAUGUGGAUGUGUGGGUUAUCAAACAUAAGGUCUUGUGUAUACUAGAUGGGUGCUCUACCUCUGAGCUAUGUCCUCUGUUCAUAACCCAAGGAGUUUGAAUGAGAAUGUCUCUUAUUGUACAUAAUUUAAUUGCCCAAUGGAUUGAUUUGAGGUUGGUGUGAUAAAUAUUUGAAAAUAUAUGGUAUUUUGAAAUGUAAGUUAUUUUGGAAGGACCAUUUGUCUGUGUGUAUGUGUGUGUUUAAAUCAGCAAUCAAGGGCUGGGGAUGUAGUUCAGUGGUAGAGUGAAUGCCUAACAUGUAUGAGACCUUGGGUUUGAUCCUCAUCAUUGUAAAUAUAAAUAAAAUAGCAAUCACCUUUUUGCCUUAUAGAUAAGAUAUAUUUAGUAAGAGAUGUGAAUUUAGUGUUAAUAGCUCAUUGAAAUCUGGACGUCCCUUGUGGUUUUUGGAGGCUUAGUGUAAGGGGCAAGGGAUAAUAAAUAGAGCACUGUAGUUUACAGUUACUUUUUCUUUUCAAAAUAAGGUAACAUAGAAUAGUACAUAAAUACAAUUUAAUGGGUUAUAGUUAUUCUCAAUUUACCUGUCCAGAUUGAAAUUGAGAACCAUCUCAUAAUAGCAUUAAGAAGUAUUCAUAGCAGAAUGACUAGUGCUAUUCAAUUUGAGUGUUCUAUGUUUAGUUGCAGAAAAACAUCUGUGUUAAAUUUUUGCCAUGGUUCUUGAGCCAUUAAUUGAUUUGUUAAAUAUAGUCAAGAAAAUAAGAAAAUCCGAGUGUUUAAAACUGGGUUUGUAUCAGCAGUCAAAAGAACAUUUGGUUUUAUCCUCACCUACUUUCUUAUGUGGUAGACUCAUGAGUUACUUUCUGAGAUGACAAAACAUUGGGAUGAGGAGGAUGUUAAGAAUUCAUCAGUUAUGUCCUUUUUUCUAUCAACUAUGUUUCACAAAGGAUUUAUUUAGUUAUGACAUUUUUAGGUUAUGAUGAUUUACAUGGACUUCAAGAAGAUUUGGAGAAAAGUUAAUGUAAGGUAAGGGUAUAGUAGGUAUAUAUUACUGUGUUUGUUUUAGUAGAGCAGUGAUUUUAGGUUGAUACUUAUACCAUCUUUGCCUCUAACUUCAUGGUCUCUGAUUAUAGCUGCUUUUUCUUCAGGAGAAUGGGAGGUAAUUUUUUGAAUUUCAGACAUUGGGAAAUUAGUGGAAUGGAGUGAUUUGUUACUGUGGACUGUUUAUUGAAGCUCUGCAACCAGACAUUGAGUAAGGUACUUUACAUAAGUUAUUUCUAGUUCUGUCUACACCCUUGAAAGCGUAUAGAAUUAUCUCCAUUUCAUGAUGAGGAUACUAGGAGUUAAAUGGUAUAUCUUUGAAUAAAUAUUGAAAUAGUGUCCUAUAGCUAGUGAUUCAUUUUGGGAAAAGUUUUUUUUUGUAUCUGGAGAAUGUUUGAUGAAUUAAGAAAUAAAAAUGUAAUCUAAAAAACCAGCAUAUACUAUGGGAAAAUUUCAAGAUUUAACAGCUUUUAACAUGAAUAACUUCAUGUUGGGAUAGAAUGAUGUUGGAGCCUCCUUGAAAACCUUGAUGUGGUACAUUUGCCAAUGAUGAAUCUGGUCUCUAGAAUUAUCUAUUGGGUUGCCUUUGAUAUUAGUAUAGUAUUAUGAUAUAUAACUGUACUUCCGGGUUUAAAUAAUGUCUAGGUAGAAAAUUCAUAUUUAAAGGGUGAGUGAUAAUGAGCUAUUAUAGAAACUGAUGCAUAUCAUAAGUUGAGUUGGAUCACCUCUAAAUAGAAUGUUUAGAGAAAGUAUUUGCAAGUAUGUUUGAAGAAGUGAUGAAAGAAAAUUAAACUAUAUACCCCAGUGAAUUCAGUCUAUUUGAUCAGUUUCCUAAUUCAGUUUAGUUGAACAAAGUUGGAUUUGAGUUGAAGGAAGCUUUAGUGAGCGUUUAGAACAGAAUAAGUAUGGUACUGCACUAAGGCAUUUCAUGGAAAGCAAAGAUGACUGAGACAUUUGCUGUCUCAGGGAAUGGCAUUAGCAUAGACAACUGAAGGUAAUCCAUGACAGAAUAACAUGGGUGCUCUCCAUUUUUAUGUGGCAGUACUGUGGGAAUGUGAAAAAUGUGGUAUGUAUAACUGGGGUUCAGGGUAGGCUAUGUGGAGGAGGCCAGGUUUGGGCUGGAUCUUGAAAGAAGAGAAGGAUAUCAAGUAGGAAGAAGGGUAUUCUAUCCUAAAAUAAGGGGUAAUCAUAGGCAUGGAAUUAGGAAUAAAUAGAUGGCUGGGAAGCAGUAAUACUUAUACUGAACAGAUACAAAUUUUAGAAAAUGGUUUCAACUACCAUUUAAGCAUACUUGCCCACAUUAUAAUUCCAGUAGAGGCUUGACAUAUUUGCUUGUUAUUUGUACGUUUCUUUGGUAAUGCACAAAGUAUCUUUCUUUGUGAUAUAUGGUGUGCAUUAUCAAGGUGGAAAUGUUACUCACUUAAGAGCCUGGAGGGUUAUAAGCAUCAAAAUCAAACUUCUAAGUCUAAUCACAAAGUCUAUUACUUGCCUUGAUUUAAAACAGUAAAAUAUAGAGAUGAUGAUGAUUUUUACAUAUGAACCUAAGAAGCAUUUGGCAAUGCAAUUAGUUUCAUAACAAGUGAUUGUUUUUUAAAGCCUUCCCAGAAUAAGAAUGAGUAUCUUGAUGCUAGUGUCACUUUUAAAUAGCUGUAGCUCCAGGAAUGUGUCUGUUCACAUUAUUAUCUUAAAUAUACACCUUAUCUAUCCAUAUUGCUGUACUUCAAAUGUGAAAGUAAAAAUAAAGGUGUGAAGUGCCUAGCAGACUUGUAUGGAUUUAUGUAAAUCAGAAAACACAAAAAUCCAUUAGUCUCAGUGCUGAAGCCUUGAUGUAUUUAAGUAUGAAAUAUUUCCUUAAAGUUACACACAAACACACACACACACACACACACACCCCAUAAUUUCUAGGGAUUUACUUAGCAAAAAAAAAAAUAUUUAUUUCACUGAACUCCAGACAUGGAUUCAACUGUCGUCUUAUUGCUCCAUAAGAUUAUUAAAGUUAUAUAAAUAUUUAAGUGCCCCAAAUUGAUCCUUUUACCCCAAUUUUUUCAUCUUUGGCCUUUCCCUUGUAAAUUAGUGGACAAUUAGUCUUUAUUUCUUCUUUCCCUUAGACAAACUCUUGGAGUCAUCACUGAUUUCUUUCUUUUCUUUUUAAUAAUUUUAGUUUAUUUUUUAGUGCGUUAUAGUUAUACAUAAUGGUGGGGUUCAUUUUGACAUAUUCAUAAAAGUAUAUAACAUAGUUUUUUCCAUUUUAUUACCCAUACUACCUGCUUCCCUUCUAUCCUCUCUCCUCCAGGUCCCCUUUCUCCACUCUACUGGUCUUUAUUUCUUCUUUUCCUUUUUUCUUCCUUCCUUCCUUGUCCACACUCUGUCAGUAGUUCAUGCUGACUCAUCAAAACACAUCUACAAUUUAAACCUGACCACCUGUCACCACCUUCGCUACUACCUUGUUUAAGCCACUAUCUCUUACUUGGGCUAUUUUAAUAGCCUCCUGACUGGCCUCUCAGCUUCUCAGAACCUGAAACCUAGUCCUCUAAUAUAGUACAAUAACCAGAAAAAUGAUACUAAAACAGAGGUAAAAUCUGUCACUCAAAACUUCAGUUGUUUCCUAUCUUAUGCAUUGUAAAAGCUAAAUCUUGUUAGAAGCCUGCCUAUAAAACUCUGUCUAGUGCACCUUCAUAACCUCAUUAUUUAGAUUUUCUUUGUUUGCUACCUUUCAUUCACAGCUGAAUUGUAUAUUGUUUCUUGAAUAAUUGUUCUGGGAUAUUAAGUUUACUGGUUCUUCUUCCUGAAGUGCUUUUACUAUUAGAUGGCCAUUCAGCUUAUUCUCUAGUCUUUCUUGAUAUGUUAAAUCCCUAGUGAGACCUUCCUUGAUCAUCUUACUUAAAAUGCCUCUCUCCUUCCUACUUCUUUUUCUUGUUUUCACUUCCCCAAAUUCACUGACUGUAUAUUCCAUCUUACUCUUUUGUGGUCUUUUUCUGAUAUGAUGAAACCUUGAUGACUGCAAGGAAUUUUUCCCAAUUUAUUUAAUAUUGGACCACUAAACCUAUUCCCAUACAUAUUUGUUACUUAAUACAUAAUUGACUGAAUGAAUAAAAGAUAUAACUUACUUCAUAGAAGUUAAACCUGUGGUAAAAACCUAAUUUGUCUCCUGUUGACAUCUUUGGGGAAUGAUAUUUCCAAAUGCCUGAGUGUUACUUCUUCAAAAAUUUUAAAUAAUAUAUAUUUGUGUAAUUUGCAUAUAAUAUACUUACUUUAAGCAUGGAGGUCCAUGAAUUUUGGCAAAUAUACACUGUUAUGUAAUAUUUUUGUUCCAAUUAAAAGGUAUAGAAUAUUUCUGUCACUUCAAAAAAUUCCCAUCUCUCCCGUCACUUCUUUCCUCAUCCCCAUCUUUAGGCAACUAUUGAUCUGACUUUUUGUCAUUGUAAAUUUGUUUUACUUGCUCUAGAGUUUCAUAUAAACAGACUUAUACAUUAUAUGUUUUUUCAGUGUGCUAUUUUUGAGGCUAUUAUUAGGUGUCAUAUUAAUUUGUUUUCAUUACAGAAUAGUGUGCCUUUUUUAAUAAAUGUGCCACAAUUUGCUUAUCAGUUUAUUUGUUAUGGACAUUUGAAGUGUUUCCAUUUUUUUGCCUAUAAGUAAUAAUGCCACCCUGAGUGUUCACAUAUGAGUCUUUGUGUAAAUAUGCUUUGUCAUAUGGUAAGUGCAUGUUUAACUUUGAAAGAAAUUUCCCCUCUGUGAUCAUACCAUAUUCACUACCAAUGUCUGAAAUUCUAGUUCCUAAACAUUCUAGCUGGUACUUACCAUAAUUCUUUUAAAUCCAGACAUUCUGUUGAGUGUGUAGUCAUAUAUCUUAUUGUUUUAAUUUUCAUUUAUUAAUUACUUGAAUUACUUGAUUUCCAGUGAUGCUGAUAUUUUCUGUUUUUUUUUGUUGUUGUUGUUGUGGGGAGAUGCUGGGGUUGAAGCCAGGGUUGUUUCAGGUCAUGCGCAUGAUCUUUCCAUUUACUUUUUGGCAAUUGUUUAUCUUUUGUGAAAUGUUUGAUCAAAUCUUGUGUUCAUUUGAGGAAAAAUUGAAUUAUUCAUUGUCAUUCAGUUACAGAGUUCUUUAUAUAUUUGUAUUCAAAUCCUUGUCAGAUGUAUCUUUUCCUGGUCUGUAGAUAUCCUUUUUCUUUUAUUGAUGGUCCAAUUUGAGGAGCAGAGGUUUUCAAAUUUAAGUCUAGUUUAUUAAUAUUUUCUUUUGUGGUCUGUCUUCCUUCCCUCUCUCUCUUUCUUCCUUGAACUCUUUGACUCCUGGUUGUAAGGAUUUUCUCAUUUUCUCUAAUCAUUUUACAGUUUAAGCUUUUUCAUUAGGUCUUUGGUCCAUUUUGAGUAAAUUUUUGUAUACAUGUGGGGUAAAGAUUAAGGUUCACUUUUCUGUCUCUCCUUGUUCAAGGUCCACUUGUUGAAAAAAACUAUCUUUUCUCCUUUAAGUUAUCUUUAAAUGUUUGUUAUAAAUCAACUAAUUGUAUAUGUGUAGUACUUUUCGUAGAUUGUAUUAUAUUGAUCUAUAUGUGUUUCCCGUCAACAUAUUGUUUCAUAGUAAGUCUUGAAAUCACAUAGUGUAAAUUCUUUAACUUCGUUUCUCUUUUUUCAAAUUGUAUUGAGUAUUUCUUUUUCAUUUUCAUAUCAAUUAUAGAUUUGGCUUAUAAUUUUAUGCAAAGUGUCUGUAGGAUUUUAAUUGCCACUGUAUUGAAUUCUGUAGAUCAAUUAGGGAAGCAUUAAUCUCUAGACUACUGUUCUAUUUCAAUCCAUGAACACAAUAUAGCUCCAUUUAUUUAGUUAUUCUUUAGUUUCUCUAAGCAGUAGUUUUCAGUGUGUUGGUUUUUUAAAAUUUAUCCUAAGUGAAUAGGAUAUGAAUUAGAUUUUGAAUGUUUUUGAAAAUGCCAUUUUUUCAAAACAAAAUUUACAAUUUGUAAUGGUUAUUAUUUAGGAGUAGACUUAAUUUUUACAUGUUGAACUUGUAUCCUGCUACCUUGCUAUUUCAUCCAUUUAUGCUUUUAACUUUUGUGAAUUCUUUAGGUUUUGCUUUGUAUAUGAUCCUGUUAAUCACAAAUAAAGAUAAUUUUAUGUCUUCCUUUACAGUUUUCAUGUCUUCUAUUUCUCUUUCUUUAUUUUAUUGACUUAAACCUCAUUGCAGGGUUAAAUAGGAAUAAUUAGAGUGAACAUCUUUGUCUAGUUUAUGAUUCAGGGUAAAACUAUUUAGAUUUUCACUAAUAUGUAUGACAUUGGCUGUACAUAUUUUAUAGGUGCCCAAUCAAGGAGAGAAACUUCCCUUUUAUACUUUAUACUGAGAGCUUUUAUUGUAAAUUAGUGUUAAAUUUUCCCAGGGGC